CUCGUCCCUUCGUCGAGAAAGGGAGACGGCCACCGGCCCCUCCCGCCACUCUCCUUUCCUGCUCGCCGUUGCCGUCGGAACUUCGAGGAAGCGAGCCAAGACUUCUUUCCCUCUUUCUCUCUCUCGUUCCCGUCUCCACCCGUUCGUCUCCAUUGAGAUUCGUGUCGGAUCCGGGUUUGAGAUGUAGGAGACGCAGUGCGAAGAUGCAUUGCCGGCGUUGGUGAUGCCUCAUGGCGGUCGCCUGAGGUGGGUUCCGGUCUCCAGGGUUCCCGUCUUCGAUCUCUCAGGUGAUAGACGAUUCCUUGCUUGCUGUCUGGUGGGCAAAGGCUUGAUGGAACCGAUCCGUGAUUUGGUGGGUUCUUGAUUCUUGAUGGCGAUGCAAGUCAUGGCGAGUGAUGAGGUACUUCUUGCGCCAAAUUGAGCGUCUGGUCGGAGACAUGGAAGGAGGAGUCUUGCUUUUCGUGGAUGACUUGAAGUCCAGCUGAUCCACGUCGUGCCCCUUUUUCUGCCCUCGGCUUCUUGGAUUUGAGAUUAGAGCAUGGAAGGGAGUUCUUCCGGAGAAGAGCUGGUCGUCGUGAAGACAAGGAAGCCUUAUACCAUUACAAAGCAAAGGGAGAGGUGGACUGAGGAGCACAGCCGCUUUCUCGAAGCGCUGAAGCUCUACGGCAGGGCCUGGCAGCGCAUUGAAGAGCAUAUUGAUACUAAAGACGGCCGUGCAAAUUAGAAGCCAUGCACAAAAGUUCUUCACCAAGGUCAGUUUUCUUUUGUUUGUAGAAAUCCAGGUAUGGAGCUCUACCAACUCUAUGUGCUUGAUGCUUGAAUCAACUUAUUGGAUUUCCUUUUAAUGUUUUA